rnacentral:rRNA from 1 species
GAUGAACGCUGGCGGCGUGCCUAAUACAUGCAAGUCGAGCGAACGGACGAGAAGCUUGCUUCUCUGAUGUUAGCGGCGGACGGGUGAGUAACACGUGGAUAACCUACCUAUAAGACUGGGAUAACUUCGGGAAACCGUAGCUAAUACCGGAUAAUAUUUUGAACCGCAUGGUUCAAAAGUGAAAGACGGUCUUGCUGUCACUUAUAGAUGGAUCCGCGCUGCAUUAGCUAGUUGGUAAGGUAACGGCUUACCCAGUCAACGAUGCAUAGCCGACCUGAGAGGGUGAUCGGCCACACGGGAACUGAGACACGGUCCAGACUCCUACGGGAGGCAGCAGUAGGGAAUCUUCCGCAAUGGGCGAAAGGCUGACGGAGCAACGCCGCGUGAGUGAUGAAGGUCUUCGGAUCGUAAAACUCUGUUAUUAGGGAAGAACAUAUGUGUAAGUAACUGUGCACAUCUUGACGGUACCUAAUCAUAAAGCCACGGCUAACUACGUG